CUUACUCUGAGGACGGCGAGGAUGCCUCCGGGUCGCAGCAGCUGCAGGCAGCGCUCGUAGUAAGCGGAGCAGUUCUCCUUGUCCGCAUCCACCACGGCCACGUCGAAGGUGCCGGCCUCGCCCGCCGCCAGCAGCUCGUCUUGUGCUCACCCAGGGUCUCCAAGGCGGGCUUCAGCCGGAGGUCGAUCUUGUGCUCCGCCUCGGCCUGCGGAGGGAGCUACCCAGGUCCAGCGCCUUCUUGGCCUGGAUGAGCCGCGCCAGGUUGGCCAAGAGCUGGGCCUGCUCGCAGGUCAUCAUAGAAUCCCCCUGCGGCUGCUCCAGGGUCAGCUGUGACCAGCCUCAGGCUUCGCAGCGCCGGGUGCUCCCGCAUGGAGCGGCUCAGAAGAUACUGCCACAGGGGGCUGUCCUCGGGGGGAAGCAGGCCUCACCCAGGAAGAGGCCAGUGGCGAAGGCGGCGCCCAGCGCGGCUGAGCCCAGGGCCAGCGCGGCCUCCUACAGCCUGGCUUUAGGCCGGAGCGGUGGAGGUUGAGGGGGAGCGGGUGAGGAGGGGAGGCAUGUCACCAUAUAUCCCCGUCAGAUUAAAAAACUAAUU
rnacentral:lncRNA from 1 species